AAGGACGUUUCAGUCCAAAACAGGCCAGCGAUAAAAAGGAAAAAAAUUCUUGACCCUUCAAAAUAAAAAAAGAACCCACGCUCUCUCUCCUCUCAUUCGCGACUCCUCCCCAGAUCUAGAUCUAGCAGUCUUUCUUCAUCUUCUCGGCCUUCUCUGUGCACUCGGGGAAUUUUCAAGUUUCCUCUUUGACUGGAUGUGAGAUGCGAGAGAAAUCUGAAAGCCAUCUGACAAUACAAUUCAUUGACGCUGUCGCUCCCAUCACCAAAGCACCAUGGUAGAUCUAUUAUCCUUCUCUACCUAUCAUGUGGGGCUCUUCAGUUGGAGAACAAGGUUAGGUAUAAGCCAAAUGAUCGCACUUCCACCACAAAGUUGGAUAUGGGGUUUAGUGAUAUUACUGGUCCUUGAUCCCUACUGAGCUGUUUCAUGUGGAGUUUAUAAUGAAGUUCAUAUAUAUGUACAUGGAAUUUAUCUUUAGUGGUGUUUCAUGUGGAUUCAUAUGUAUGUUUGCAUAUGUUGAUUUUCAGUUUGUUUUGAUGAACAAAUUGUAUUAUUGACUUUAAAACUUUGAGUUCCAGGAACAUAUGCUUUGAAGAAACACAUCAAAUACAUAUGUUUUGAUGUGUCUCCCCAUCUAUUGAGCCCAUUCUAGAAUAUAUAGCCUCUGCAAUGUCAAGGUCCACUGCACAGAAGCUUCUGGCCGGAUUGGUUUUGUCAGUUCCUUUUUGCAAUGUAGUACAAGGGAGAAGCUUUGAAAGGGCCAAGAGACUUUAUUUUAUUGUAGAGCUUUGUAUGUGUGUGGGGCUUUCAAUGGACAAACCCUUGAGGAAUCAAUUACAACCUAGAAAAUUUGGUGGAGUUCAAAGCAACUCUUGAACAGAAUUUUCUCAAGGGAACGAAAGAUCCAAAGCUUGAUGGAAAUCUAAAGACACAAAGAGAAGAAGGGUCAUUGAUCAGGUAAAGCAAAGUAAAAUGAUUCAUGAAGAAGCAUGAGUUGGUGGAAGCUCUGAAAAGGUUGUUACAGAAACCAUUCCAUUCUUCCCUCAAAGAAAAGUGACAGAAGUUCAAAUGAUAGAGGCAAGUAUGUAUGUCUAUUGUCAUCUAGGAUUACAUAUGAUUAGAACUUAUAACUAGGAAUUAGUUAAUGGAUUGUUCUUGUAGAAGCAUAUUGUAACAAGUAAUAGAUGACAUUUGUCUUGGUGUUGUAAAGAUGAUUUGGAUAUAAAUGUCUUUUUUCAUUAUAAGGACAA